AAUAGAUACCCAGGUAGUCCACGCCGUAAACGGUGGGCGCUAGGUGUGGGGGACUUUCCACGUCCUCUGUGCCGCAGCUAACGCAUUAAGCGCCCCGCCUGGGGAGUACGGCCGCAAGGCUAAAACUCAAAGGAAUUGACGGGGGCCCGCACAAGCGGCGGAGCAUGUGGCUUAAUUCGACGCAACGCGAAGAACCUUACCAAGGCUUGACAUGCAGAGAAAUCUCGUAGAGAUACGGGGUCCGCAAGGGCUUUGCACAGGUGGUGCAUGGUUGUCGUCAGCUCGUGUCGUGAGAUGUUGGGUUAAGUCCCGCAACGAGCGCAACCCUUGUCCUAUGUUACCAGCGAGUAAUGUCGGGGGCUCAUAGGAGACUGCCGGGGUCAACUCGGAGGAAGGUGGGGAUGACGUCAAAUCAUCAUGCCCCUUAUGUCUUGGGCUGCACACAUGCUACAAUGGUCGGUACAAAGGGCUGCGAGACCGCAAGGUGGAGCGAAUCCCAAAAAGCCGGCCUCAGUUCGGAUUAGGGU
rnacentral:rRNA from 1 species